rnacentral:misc_RNA from 1 species
ACACAGUUGAUACUCUCAAACAACCAGCUUACUGGAACCAUCCCAGAAUUCAGGCCGUGGGUUUCUUUCAAUGCAAGUGGAAAUAUGGGUCUUGUAAAUGCUACGAAAACAAACAAUUCCCCAGAAUUCGUAAAGAAGAGGAAAUCAGUUGUUUUGGCAGUUAUUAUUGCUGUUGCAUCUGCUGCUCUUGCUGUUGGGGUGAUCAUAAUUAUUGCUGUAUCAUUCUCCAGACGAUUUCUCAAGGUUAAUGAUCUGCAGUCACAGUCAGGGGAAGACCGUCCACUCCCUCAGGUCAUCCAAGGCAAUCUGUUGACUUCAAAUGCAAUUCACAGGUCAAACAUUGACUUCACCAAAGCCAUGGAAGCAGUUGCUGAUCCACAGAACAUCGUCCUGAAGACUAGGUUUUGCACUUG